UACACUUCCAACAAGAGUCAAAGGCAAUGCUGAUACUUUGUUGAUAUUUGGGAGUUGUUUCUACCCAAACCGCGUUAGAGUUAGCACAAAACACGACGGAAUGAAAAUGGCAAGCAUUGGCAAGGCGAUAAUUGGGUAGAGAGAAUAACUGGGAAACUAUACCUUAUUCAUUCAAAGGCCAUCAAUUCAAUCUUCUUCUUCUAGAUUCACGGAGAUCUACAUCAGAAAGCCUUGACAAAAUGUUUCUUCUCCUGGAAGCCAAGGAAGAUCGUAUGGCAGGCAGAUCAGCAGUAUCAGUUGUAAGGUUUUCCAACUGAACAGCAGCAACAGAAACUUCAUUUGCUUGAGAAGAUGACGGGACAGAUGCAGUGGAACCUGUCCUUGUAACUGCAUCCAGAGAUCGAUAAUUGGACUGUAUGAGAGCAGCAUCUCUUCUGAAAGAAUCACCAUCACCUGUUGCUCCAUGAACAGCUGGUAUAACAUCAACAUUGCUUCCUUGGAGAAGCCGAUCACUGAAUGAUGCUGCAAGGCCUUCAAACAUCCGUUGUGCAUUAUCCAACUCUGAUGAAAGGGACGCAGCACCUUCUGACAGCACCCUAGAAAAAAGACGGGAACG
rnacentral:misc_RNA from 1 species